AGCGAACGCUGGCGGCAGGCCUAACACAUGCAAGUCGAACGAAGUCUUCGGACUUAGUGGCGGACGGGUGAGUAACACGUGGGAACGUGCCUUUAGGUUCGGGAUAACUCAGGGAAACUUGUGCUAAUACCGAAUGUGCCCUUCGGGGGAAAGAUUUAUCGCCUUUAGAGCGGCCCGCGUCUAAUUAGCUAGUUGGUGAGGUAAAGGCUCACCAAGGCUACGAUCAGUAGCUGGUCUGAGAGGAUGACCAGCCACAUUGGGGCUGAGACACGGCCCAAACUCCUACGGGAGGCAGCAGUGGGGAAUCUUGCGCAAUGGGCGAAAGCCUGACGCAGCCAUGCCGCGUGGAUGAUGAAGGUCUUAGGAUUGUAAAAUCCUUUCACCGGUGAAGAUAAUGACUGUAGCCGGAGAAGAAGCCCCGGCUAACUUCGUGCCAGCCGCCGCGGUAAUAC
rnacentral:rRNA from 1 species